CUGAACAACAACAACAGCAACAAGUGAAAAUAAUGUUAAACAAUCGCGAAGCAAUUAACAGUUAAACUGAAUUAGAGUUUGUUUUGAGUUUCUUUUUUCAAUUCCAUGAUGAAAUUUACUCUGAAUUUCCCCCUGAUAAUGACGAUGGCGAUCAUGAUUCUCAGUAGAUUGAACCACUCGAAAAACGGUGAUCUAUUCAAAGCAUUUCAUUAUCAUAAUCAAUGAAUUAACAAUAAUUCAAAUGAUGUCUGAUGACAUCCAAGGGCAUCCUCAUCAUCAACACACCAUCAAUUUCAGAUCUUUAUGAAUGUAACAAUAAUAACGAUAAACAAUAAAAGUAACUUUUUCUAUUGAUAA